CUCUUUCCAUCAAACCUGUUAAUCUCUAUCUUAAUUGAGCCUAUCUUCUCUAUCUUCAAUCUUGCUCACCACCAUCAUAAUCUACGUCCUAGUACCAUCUCGCUCUGAUACUACUUGUUGGAGUAUCACCUUCUCUGAUAUCGCUUAUUGGGGAUGUCUAGCUAGGACACCACCUCCAUAAGAUCUUUUCGAUACCAUGCGUCACAGCAGAAAGAAAGAAGAAAUAAAAUAAAAAAAUCAAAUACAUGAAUCAGCCAAAAGACUCGCCUCCACGGGACAUACAAGCUUCACUAUAAGAAAAAAAAAUUACAAGAGGAGAUCACACCCUCAACCCUCAUACACCCAAUCUCUCCCUCACAAGAAGCUCUCUCUCAAAAAGCUCUCUCUCUAAGAAGAUCCCCUUGAACCCUUAAAGUGACCGCUGUCCGCUGCUUGACAGUCUGCCUGAAGUACCCUGCUUCUGCUCUUUGCUGGCACCUCUCGGUAUGCUGCUGCUCUGGAUCUUUUGCCAAACAACUAAAGCCACCAGUCUACUCUCUAUUUCGCCAUAGGGUCUUUUAAAGACCUGAAACUUAGCUGAGAUAGGAAUAAGACUCUGAAUCAAACUCCUGUUACUUCUUGACCAUCCGAUCGCAUCUCAGAUUUGAAAUUGGCCAUCAGAUCGUGCCCCAUCAUGAUCUCUGAUCACUUGGAACGACUCACAGUCAUUGGAUCUUGAUCGCAAGCCCUGCGAUUGUCCGAUUGUGCAUCAAUCCAUAAGAACCCAUCGUGGACCGUAAGAAACCAGUCUGAAAUGCCCGUCGGUCCACCGUGGAUCGCACAAAAUCCAGAAAAAAAGUAUGCC
rnacentral:lncRNA from 1 species